AUAUUACCUGUCGGCGACCGGCGCACGGGUGCGUAACGCGUAUGCAACCUACCAUCAACAGGGGGAUAACACUGAGAAAUUGGUACUAAUACCCCAUAAUAUCUCAUGCGGCAUCGCAUGGGGUUGAAAACUCCGGUGGUUGAUGAUGGGCAUGCGUUGUAUUAGCUGGUUGGUGAGGUAACGGCUCACCAAGGCGACGAUACAUAGGGGGACUGAGAGGUUAACCCCCCACAUUGGUACUGAGACACGGACCAAACUCCUACGGGAGGCAGCAGUGAGGAAUAUUGGUCAAUGGACGCAAGUCUGAACCAGCCAUGCCGCGUGCAGGAUGACGGCUCUAUGAGUUGUAAACUGCUUUUGUACGAGGGUAAACCCCGAUACGUGUAUCGGGUUGAAAGUAUCGUACGAAUAAGGAUCGGCUAACUCCGUGCCAGCAGCCGCGGUAAUACGGAGGAUCCGAGCGUUAUCCGGAUUUAUUGGGUUUAAAGGGUGCGU
rnacentral:rRNA from 1 species